rnacentral:rRNA from 1 species
GAUCCUGGCUCAGGACGAACGCUGGCGGCGUGCUUAACACAUGCAAGUCGAGCGGUAAGGCCCUUCGGGGUACACGAGCGGCGAACGGGUGAGUAACACGUGGGUGAUCUGCCUCGUACUCUGGGAUAAGCCUGGGAAACUGGGUCUAAUACCGGAUAUGACCACGAGUCGCAUGGUUUGUGGUGGAAAGAUUUAUCGGUGCGAGAUGGGCCCGCGGCCUAUCAGCUUGUUGGUGGGGUAAUGGCCUACCAAGGCGACGACGGGUAGCCGGCCUGAGAGGGCGACCGGCCACACUGGGACUGAGACACGGCCCAGACUCCUACGGGAGGCAGCAGUGGGGAAUAUUGCACAAUGGGCGGAAGCCUGAUGCAGCGACGCCGCGUGCGGGAUGACGGCCUUCGGGUUGUAAACCGCUUUCGACAGGGACGAAGCGUGAGUGACGGUACCUGUAGAAGAAGCACCGGCCAACUACGUGCCAGCAGCC